UACGUAGGGGGCAAGCGUUGUCCGGAUUUAUUGGGCGUAAAGAGCGUGUAGGCGGCUUUACAGGUCCGUUGUGAAAACUCGAGGCUCAACCUCGAGACGCCGGUGGAAACCGUAAAGCUAGAGUCCGGAAGAGGAGAGUGGAAUUCCUGGUGUAGCGGUGAAAUGCGCAGAUAUCAGGAGGAACACCCGUGGCGAAAGCGGCUCUCUGGGACGAUACUGACGCGAGACGCGAAAGCGUGGGGAGCAAACAGG
rnacentral:rRNA from 1 species